GUCGAUUUAAAAAUCGUGAGGGUUCAAGUCCCUCUAUCCCCAAAAAGAC
rnacentral:tRNA from 1 species